rnacentral:rRNA from 1 species
UGGGGAAUAUUGGUCAAUGGACGCAAGUCUGAACCAGCCAUGCCGCGUGGAGGAUGAAGGCCCUCUGGGUUGUAAACUUCUUUUAUCUGGGACGAAACACUUCUUUUCUAGGGAGCUUGACGGUACCAGGUGAAUAAGCACCGGCUAACUCCGUGCCAGCAGCCGCGGUAAUACGGAGGGUGCAAGCGUUAUCCGGAUUCACUGGGUUUAAAGGGUGCGUAGGCGGACAUGUAAGUCCGUGGUGAAAUCUCAGGGCUUAACCCUGAAACUGCCAUGGAUACUAUAUGUCUUGAAUGUUGUGGAGGUUAGCGGAAUAUGUCAUGUAGCGGUGAAAUGCAUAGAUAUGACAUAGAACACCAAUUGCGAAGGCAGCUGGCUACACAAAUAUUGACGCUGAGGCACGAAAGCGUGGGGAUCAAACA